rnacentral:misc_RNA from 1 species
GAAAUGCGAUACGUAGUGUGAAUUGCAGAAUUCCGUGAAUCAUCAAGUCUUUGAACGCAUAUUGCACUCGAGGCUUCGGCUGAGAGUAUGGCUGGCUCAGCGUCGAUGUAUCCCUCAUACACCAUUCCCCCCUUGGGGGGAACGUGUGCAUGGAUCUGGCCGUCCCGGUGCAUGUGUCUUAACCAUAUGAGCCGGGUUGGCUGAAGCACAGAGGCUAAGCAAGGACCGUCAUGGGCCGCAUCUAGGUAGGCAGCAUCACUGCUACAUAUUUAGGUGUUGGCUUGGCUCUUGCUCUCAUGCCCUCAAACCAGGAACCUCAUACCUCUUUACAUUUUCGACCUGAGCUCAGGCAAGAACACCCGCUGAACUUAA